AUCCUUGUUUUUAGAUUGUGGUUAAACAACUUUUUCAUUGGAUCAAUCCUUGUUUAUCUGAUAUGAAUUUAUUUUUUUUAUUUCUUUUAAAUUUUAUAAUAGAUUUUUUUUUUGUAAAAAAAAAAGAUUUGUUUUUUAUAUUUUUUUUGAGGCAAUUUAUUUUUUAUAUAGUAAGUGAUAUUUAUCUUAAUUUUUUUUAAUUACUAUUGUGUUAGUUUUUUUUUGAACGUUACUAUUGUGUUAGUUGUAAACAAAAAAAUUGUGUUAGUUUAUAUUUUUAAUUCGUAGAUGUAUUAAUUGUAUUAGUAUUUGCAUUUAGUGCAUUUAUCUAUUUGUGAUGUAUUAAUUGUAUUAGUAUUUGCAUAAACAAUUAUGAAUGUUAUUUAUGUUAAUGUUUCUUCCGUUCGAGUCAAGGUUAUAUCUAUAAUAUGUAAUAAGCCAGACUUAUUUCCCUUUCUCUCUCCUCUUCUCAUGCAUUUGAUAUUAAAUGCUAUUAUUAUAAUAAUUAAUAAUUAAAUUAAUAUAUUUUAUAAACAAUUCAUAUUUGAUUAGUGAGAAAAUUAUUUGUACUACAUUAAAUUAAUUUAUUGCUAAAUCAUAAACAAAAUCAAUAUAUUGCCAAAAUAUGGGAGCCAUUUUUAUUUGAAAUGAGCCAUCACUCCUCACACAUUUAUUACUUUUAUGAAUAUUUAUGAAUAUUAUUAUAUUACCCAUCAU
rnacentral:lncRNA from 1 species